rnacentral:rRNA from 1 species
GUAGCGUGAAGGAUGACUGCCCUAUGGGUUGUAAACUUCUUUUAUAUGGGGAUAAAGUGAGCCACGUGUGGCUUUUUGUAUGUACCAUACGAAUAAGGAUCGGCUAACUCCGUGCCAGCAGCCGCGGUGAUACGGAGGAUCCAAGCGUUAUCCGGAUUUAUUGGGUUUAAAGGGAGCGUAGGCGGAUUAUUAAGUCAGUUGUGAAAGUUUGCGGCUCAACCGUAAAAUUGCAGUUGAUACUGGUAGUCUUGAGUGCAGCAGAGGUAGGCGGAAUUCGUGGUGUAGCGGUGAAAUGCUUAGAUAUCACGAAGAACUCCGAUUGCGAAGGCAGCUUACUGGACUGUAACUGACGCUGAUGCUCGAAAGUGUGGGUAUCAAACAGGAUUAGAUACCCUGGUAGUCCACACAGUAAACGAUGAAUACUCGCUGUUUGCGAUAUACAGCAAGCGGCCAAGCGAAAGCAUUAAGUAUUCCACCUGGGGAGUACG